rnacentral:rRNA from 1 species
CGCUAGCGACAGGCCUAACACAUGCAAGUCGAGGGGUAACAGAUAUAAAGCUUGCUUUAUAUGCUGACGACCGGCGCACGGGUGAGUAACACGUAUGCAACCUACCUUUUACAGGAGAAUAACCCAGAGAAAUUUGGACUAAUACUCCAUAAUAUUUUUGUAUCGCAUGAUAUAGAAAUUAAAGUUCCGGCGGUAAAAGAUGGGCAUGCGUCCUAUUAGUUAGUUGGUAAGGUAACGGCUUACCAAGGCUAUGAUAGGUAGGGGUUCUGAGAGGAUAAUCCCCCACAUUGGUACUGAGACACGGACCAAACUCCUACGGGAGGCAGCAGUGAGGAAUAUUGGUCAAUGGCCGCAAGGCUGAACCAGCCAUGUCGCGUGAAGGAUGACUGCCCUAUGGGUUGUAAACUUCUUUUGUAUGGGAAGAAAGGUGUCUACGUGUAGAUAUUUGCCGGUACCAUACGAAUAAGGAUCGGCUAACUCCGUGCCAGCAGCCGCGGCAAUACGGAGGAUCCAAGCGUUAUCCGGAUUUAUUGGGUUUAAAGGGUGCGUAGGUGGCUGUAUAAGUCAGUAGUGAAAUCUCGGAGCUCAACUCCGAACGUGCUA